UACGAGGGGGGCGAGCGUUGUUCGGAAUUAUUGGGCGUAAAGGGUGCGUAGGCGGUUUGGUAAGUCUUAUGUGAAAUCUACAGGCUCAACUUGUAGUCUGCAUGAGAAACUGCCGGGCUUGAGUAUGGGAGAGGUGAGUGGAAUUCCUGGUGUAGCGGUGAAAUGCGUAGAUAUCGGAAGGAACACCUGUGGCGAAAGCGGCUCACUGGACCAUUACUGACACUGAGGCACGAAAGCUAGGGGAGCAAACAGG
rnacentral:rRNA from 1 species